CUAAUGUACCCUUUACACUAAACCUUCCUGCACCACCCUCCCGUUUCGUAAUCUCACUCCUUUCUCUCUCCUCCCUCCCGUUUUCCUCUACGUAUCUUCUUCAAUCUUCUUCAAUCUUCUUCCUCAAAUCCUCUUCGAUCUUCCCAUUUCGUGUCCUCUUUGAAGCCCAAUUGCCUAAUUGGACAAAAUCAGAAACCCUAAAUUAAAGUUGGCAUGCAGAGGAAAGAGAAAGGGAACUUGGAAUCUAAGUUUGGCGGCCGAAUUCCUUCUCAACACCGACAACAACCGUUGCGCUAUUGCGAACUCCGGCUGUAGAGUUAUCUGUAUCCCGACGCUCUCCUCCUUUCCCCCUUUUCUUUCUUCGUCGGAGUUCAUUCAAAUUUUCUAGGGGUUUUACUCGAUCCCAGAAAAUCAAGUUCCAAAUUCAUUUGCUCUCUCUCUCUCUUUCUCUCUCCCAUGUAAAUCACUCAAUUUCUUUCAUUUCUCAGUUCCUUCGAAUUCAUUUUUUUAUGAUUUGGGGAAGAAAUUGAGUUCCAGAAUCACUCUCUUUCUCUCUCUUAGGCGAAUAGGUCGGCAAAAUUGAAGCAGUGUAAGCUUGAUGCUUGCCGUGAACAAUGGCUUUCGCAAGAUAGAAACAGGCAAAAAAAACAUGUCUCCAAAAGACCUUCAUUUGCAGGUACUUGAGAUGGGAUUUUCGGUACAAGUUUUCUGUCAAAUCUCUCAGAACUCCAUUGACGCGAUCCUCACUGAAAAUCAGAUGUAGCACAAUCUCCAUCUUCAUCUUCUUCAGCUUCCACUUGAUCAACUCCAGCUACUCCAGGCUGUGCAAGCAAGCGACCAAUUUGCACAAAAGGGACGUCAAACACAACCGUCACUCCGUCAGAGCAACAGCAAACGAGUAUCUUAUUGUGAAUGUAUCUGUAAGAUAUUUUAUCACAGAUUCACAGGUUCUUCAUAGAAAUGUGAAUGUAUUUUUGAGUAAUUGAAUGUAUUCAGAUACUCAAAUCCCUUGGAAGUGAAUUCUGACAUUUACUUCAGAAUAUAGAUAAGGUAUUUACCUUAGUAAAUGUGAAUGUUGAUGAACAGAUUAUGUUUUGUUGCUCUAAUGUAUAAAGUUGAUAUAAGUUUUAAUGUUACA